AUACUGCAAGCAAAUGCAGCACAUGAUGCUCAUUAUUUUUCAUAAGACAGCUAGAAACCACAUAUCUGUCAUAUAGUAAGCAUCCCAACAGAUACUUACAGGCAUUUAUGCAAAGAACAAUAAACAAUUUCUCAUAUCAACAUGAUGAUGCUGACCAUAAACUAAAUUAAUUCAGUGCCAAGCCUUUCCAAAUUCUAUUUGCACUUUUAGUUCCUAAACUUUUUCAAACUUCAACAGAGUUUAGGAAUAAAAAGUCAGCAGAACAGCAUCUAACCGAGAUCCAACCUGUAAUGCAGCUCGAAAUAUGA
rnacentral:misc_RNA from 1 species